UCCUUCUUAUCGAAGGCAGUUUUCGAAGAGUGCAUCCCUUGCGGGAUUAGCAACAUCGAAUGGGGGUUGCGCUCGUUGCGGGACUUAACCCAACAUCUCACGACACGAGCUGACGACAACCAUGCAGCACCUCUGCUCGCUCCCUUGCGGGUCGGUCUCCGUUUCUGGUGACCUACCACGAGUAGUUCAAGCCCGGGUAAGGUUCUUCGCGUUGCGUCGAAUUAAACCACAUGCUCCACCGCUUGUGCGGGCCCCCGUCAAUUCCUUUGAGUUUCAACCUUGCGGCCGUACUCCCCAGGCGGCUUAUUUAAUGCGUUAGCGCCGACGCGGAAGGGGUCGAUACCUCCCACAUCUAAUAAGCAUCGUUUAGGGCUAGGACUAC
rnacentral:misc_RNA from 1 species